AGGACGCCCAUUUCCUCUCCUAUUUUUUUUAAGACCAAGCCAUGGAAAGUCCCACAUUGCUUGUUCUUAAAGAGAACAAAGAGUUUAUAAGCGUUUAUUCACAAGAACUAAGAGAAAGAAAUCAAAGAGGCAAAUACACGCCUAUGAAACCUACACUAUUCUUUUUAAUUCUUUUUGUCACUCUAAAAGCUCUUCAUUGUUGCCCCAUCUAUGAUCAUAUCAUCCCCCCA
rnacentral:lncRNA from 1 species